GGAAAGUUGCCAGAGUGGUCGAUCGGGUCGGUCUCGAAAACCGAUGUACUCGUGAGGGUACCCAGGGUUCGAAUCCCUGACUUUCCG
rfam:Paludibacter sp. SCN 50-10 ABS72_C0121, whole genome shotgun sequence.